rnacentral:lncRNA from 1 species
GGAGGGGUGCUGGAUACUACGUGCUAAACUUUAGCAGUGUCACAUCGAAUAUUCGGAUACUAAUUAGAAGGAUUAAACAUGAGCUAAUUACAAAACUAAUUGCACAGGUGGAGUCUAAUUCGCGAGACGAAUCUAUUAAGCCUAAUUAAUCCAUCAUUAGCAAACAGUUACUGUAGCACCGCAUUGUUAAAUCAUAGACUAAUUAGGUUUAAUAGAUUCAUCUCGCGAAUUAGACUCCAUCUGUGCAAUUAAUUUUGUAAUUAAUCUAUGUUUAAUACUUCUAAUUAGCAUCCAAACAUCCGAUGUAACGGGUGUCGAGGAUCAGAGUACGCGACAAUGCAACGC